CAGCGUCACCCCGCUUGCUGUGUCCUCGCAGGUCGCAGCUUCAUGGCCUGAUGCCUUCAGGAAGUAUUUUGAAGUCAUCGUGGCUGUGGAUUGGGGGAUUUCUUGUUUCCACUGACCUGUGAGGCCGCGCACGUGGAGGGAGGCACCCCGGGUCCUCCGGCACUGUCCGGCCUCGCCUGUGUCCCUAGUAGCAGUGGGCAUUUCCAGACGGUGCAGCUUGUGGCUAAAGUGACAGGAAGAUGUAGGAGCUUUCAGUCUUGGAUGAGGAUUCGAACUGAAGGGCUUAGGCCCAGCUGUCUUGGAGCAAAACAUCUGUUGUGGGAUGUGGCGGCAGAGGAGGGCAAGGCCGAAGGAGCAGACAGCACCGCUUCUUGGGGAGUUGUGAAGGCAUCAUGCGGAGGGCCGAGCUUAGCAGCCAAGUGGAGGACAGCACCCUCCAUGCCUGGAUUCGUUACUCGCUCGUUCUCGAUGUUGAGCUGCUGGCAUAUUGCAGCACAACUAGAGAUGUACGGAUGCCCCCAUCUUGAUCUUACAGAAUCAGAGGUGCAGCCGCAAGAAAGCUACACCCUCUCGGUUUUCUCUGCUCUGCCAACACUAGUGGAAUAUGAUCACAUCCCAGGGAUCAGUGUCAUUUAGGGAUGUGACUAUGGGCUUCACUCAAGAGGAGUGGCAUCAUCUGGACCCUGCUCAGAGGACCCUGUAGAGGAAUGUGAUGCUGGAGAACUACAGCCACCUUGUCUCAGUAGGGUAUUGCAUUCCUAAACCAGAAGUGAUCCUCAAAUUGGAGACAGGCAAGGAGCCAUGGA
rnacentral:lncRNA from 1 species